ncrna:unclassified sequences RT-4 RNA
UACACCGCAGACGAUUGAAACAUCGUUAUAUCCGCCCUUAUGGGUUUUGGUGAGUGGAAAUAGUUCCGGUCAGGAGCUGCACGUAGCAGGAAAUGUCCGAAAGCGGCGAGGAGAUAGAA